UGGGGAAUAUUGCACAAUGGGCGAAAGCCUGAUGCAGCGACGCCGCGUGAUGGAUGACGGCCUUCGGGUUGUAAACCUCUUUCAGCAGGGACGAAGCGCAAGUGACGGUACCUGCAGAAGAAGCACCGGCUAACUACGUGCCAGCAGCCGCGGUAAUACGUAGGGUGCAAGCGUUGUCCGGAAUUACUGGGCGUAAAGAGUUCGUAGGCGGUUUGUCGCGUCGUUUGUGAAAACCAGCAGCGCAACUGCUGGCUUGCAGGCGAUACGGGCAGACUGGAGUACUGCAGGGGGGACUGGAAUUCCUGGUGUAGCGGUGAAAUGCGCAGACAUCAGGAGGAACACCGGUGGCGAAGGCGGGUCUCUGGGCAGUAACUGACGCUGAGGAACGAAAGCGUGGGUAGCGAACAGG
rnacentral:rRNA from 1 species